AUUCUGCCCAUGCGGGGAAGGAUGAGAAGCUUCGACCAAGGUUCGACUUGAGCGCCAGCGAGAGAGCGUUGCCGCAGGCAACGACCCGAAGGGCGAAG
rnacentral:sRNA from 1 species